CGUCCCCAUUUCCCUUUGCACGAUCACACACACAUCAUUCUCUACACAAACACACACACAUAUGAGCAACACGCAUGCACAACACACAAAUGCAAUUUUUUUUUUCUUUUUCAUUUGUUGCCUUUUUUCCUUCCGAUCUUUUUACUUAACCUAUGUUUAAAAGCCAAGCUUUUAUAGAGUUGUUUACUAUUCAAAAAUCUCCAAUUUAUUGUUGAUUUAUGUUGUAGAAAUUGAAGAAGACUUCUUCAAAAGGCCGGUUUGUCAACGUAGCUAUAGAAAUGGAGAAAUAAGAUCAUGAUGGAAGAAGGAGAUGUGCAAGAUUAGAGCAGAAAAUUGAUCGAACGGGUUUAUAGAUUUCUUGCCACCUUUGAAGGUGCUUUUGGUUUUGGAGGAACAAUGAAACAUGCAAGCCUGAUCAGUGCGAUGAAUACAUGAAACAAUUAUUUGUUCAAUGUGAAUUUACAAAGAGGGUAUGGCUAAACUGGUGGUAUUGCUUCACAAACAAAAUGUAUGAGCUGCAAAUUGGGAGCAGUAUUUGCAAUGUUCCAUCAGUUGUGUUUGGAUUGAGAAAAACUUUAGAAUUUUGAAAAAAAAAAAGAGUAGACAUUGGGAAUGUAUAGCAAAAGAGAUAGUUUAUGUUUGAGCCUCACCAAGUAUAAGAACCCAAAUGCAAAGACUUAGGUUCUAGGUGAGAAGUUACGAUAUGAGGUUUUCUAAUCUUUCGUUGGUGCUCUAUUUUAGAUAGUUGGCUUUGAUGGCCUUGCUAUGGAUUUGUAACUAAUCCAAUGGUG